rnacentral:lncRNA from 1 species
CGGAGCCGGUGAAGGAAGCCGCAGGCGCGGAUGGAGGCGAAGAGAUCAGGAGCAGUAAAGGAACACUCUCUUCCCCAGUCAGCUGGGAUACGGAUUUUGUAAGGCCUAGGGACUUUGUCUUUGGAGGUCCUGUCUCCAUAAGAAAUUAGAAGAUUUUUGUGGAGCUCCCCUUUUCUGCAAAGGAUCGUGGGUCCUAGGCACUAUCGUACUGCAUCUAAUGGAGAAGUCACCCUUGUCCCCAAAAGAAUGGCAUCUUGUUUGUUUCCUCCUAUAAAUAAAUUUAUCCCUGAUUUCCAAGAACUCAUAACCUAGAUCAUCUCUGAUUUCACAUUUCCUGCUGCUCUUAUAGCUGCCCCCUGCUCAGGAAGAUAAAUAAAUAAAUAAAUAAGACAUAGGACAAUUUCUAAAUCAGAGUUUAAUGGUCUUUGAAUCUUAAAGGAUUUAUCAAGAUAAGGUAGGAAAUCAACUACCUUUUAUGAGUAACUGCUAUGUGCUGGUGUCAUUUAAUUUACGUAAGUUCCUAUGAGUUAGAAAUUGUCUCUCUUUUAAAGGGCCUUUCACAAAGGACCUAGGUAUGUUGGUAACAUGCUUGAAGUCAUUCAACCAGAGAGGGUUAGAGCUGAGUCUGGAGCUCAGCCUGUCUGUCACCUCUGCUACACUUGCUGCUCCCUUUGCUUAGAACAUUCUCCCCUGUUCCCCCCCUCCCCACCCCGCACCCCUACUUCCUUGUUAUGACUGUGGCUGACAUAAAUAAAUAAGACACAGGUCCAUUUUAAAAUCAGUUUAAUGGCGUUUGAAUUUCGAAGUGUUUAUAAAGAUAAGAUAGAAAAUCAGGGCUUUCCUUCAAGGCUGUUUGUGGCAAGCACCCUCAGAUGGCAACCACUAGGUCAUUCUCCAUCAUAUCACACCACAGUGGUGCCCAACAUUGCCU